rnacentral:rRNA from 1 species
UGGGGAAUUUUGGACAAUGGGCGCAAGCCUGAUCCAGCAAUGCCGCGUGCAGGAUGAAGGCCUUCGGGUUGUAAACUGCUUUUGUACGGAGCGAAAAGGCUUUAACUAAUACUUAGGGCUAAUGACGGUACCGUAAGAAUAAGCACCGGCUAACUAGUGUCUGAACGGAAACUCAAUUUAUAACUAUGAAUCAACGGUUUAUGUAUGGUUUUUGAAAACGAAGAUUUUGCCGAAUUACUGGGCGUAAAGCGUGCGCAGGCGGUUUUGUAAGACAGAUGUGAAAUCCCCGGGCUCAACCUGGGACCUGCAUUUGUGACUGCAAAGCUAGAGUACGGCAGAGGGGGAUGGAAUUCCGCGUGUAGCAGUGAAAUGCGUAGAUAUGCGGAGGAACACCGAUGGCGAAGGCAAUCCCCUGGGCCUGUACUGACGCUCAUGCACGAAAGCGUGGGGAGCAAACAGG